rnacentral:rRNA from 1 species
UACGUAGGGGUGCGAGCGUUGUCCGGAAUUAUUGGGCGUAAAGGGCUCGUAGGCGGUUUGUCGCGUCGGGAGUGAAAACUCGAGGGCUUAACCCUGAGCCUGCUUCCGAUACGGGCAGACUAGAGGUAUGCAGGGGAGAACGGAAUUCCUGGUGUAGCGGUGAAAUGCGCAGAUAUCAGGAGGAACACCGGUGGCGAAGGCGGUUCUCUGGGCAUUACCUGACGCUGAGGAGCGAAAGUGUGGGGAGCGAACAGG